UCCAGAACUGAAAGAAGGCUUAUGGUGGA
rnacentral:piRNA from 1 species